rnacentral:rRNA from 1 species
AUGAACGCUGGCGGCGUGCCUAAUACAUGCAGGUCGAGCGAACAGACGAGGAGCUUGCUCCUCUGACGUUAGCGGCGGACGGGUGAGUAACACGUGGAUAACCUACCUAUAAGACUGGGAUAACUUCGGGAAACCGGAGCUAAUACCGGAUAAUAUAUUGAACCGCAUGGUUCAAUAGUGAAAGACGGUUUUGCUGUCACUUAUAGAUGGAUCCGCGCCGCAUUAGCUAGUUGGUAAGGUAACGGCUUACCAAGGCGACGAUGCGUAGCCGACCUGAGAGGGUGAUCGGCCACACUGGAACUGAGACACGGUCCAGACUCCUACGGGAGGCAGCAGUAGGGAAUCUUCCGCAAAGGGCGAAAGCCUGACGGAGCAACGCCGCGUGAGUGAUGAAGGUCUUCGGAUCGUAAAACUCUGUUAUUAGGGAAGAACAAAUGUGUAAGUAACUAUGCACGUCUUGACGGUACCUAAUCAGAAAGCCACGGCUAACUACGUG